CCAGAACCAACAUUUUUCACACAACUCCAGGUUGUUACUAACAAAUUACUACUACAAGUGUCAUCAAGGGAUAACUACAAGUAGAAGCACCAUUUUUGGAUGGAAAAAACCCUUCAGGAAAGUAUACGUAUCACAUGUAACAUGUAGUGUAACAAAGUAUGAACAGUAAGGUUUUUACAUACAGUAGUAUUACAUACGUACAUAACUUUUUUUUACAGGAAUUUCCAACCAAGUUUGAUUAUGUACAUCAAAUGUUAUAAACCACUGUACGUAUGGUUACUGUAUGUAACUUACUAAACAUACAUAACAUGACUUAACUUUGAUACUUUUUUGGUACAUUCCAGAAAACCAGGACCCCCUCCAUGAUGCAGGCUAUGGGGCCACAUAAAACUUUGUCCAGGGUUACUACAUAACAUAAAGAACCCCCUGAAUGAUGUAGGCUAUGGGGCCACAUAAGACUUUGUGCAUCCAGGGUUACAUAGCACGACAACUUUAAACUAAAGGUAAGGAAUUAAUUAACAUACAUUAACUAAGUUUUAUACAUGUUAUAUAUGUGAUAUUAAACCACUGUAUGGUGCAUAUUACUGUAUGUAACUUACUAUGCAUAGAGUACUUACUGACAUACUAAUUAUUUUUUGUACAUUCCAGAACCCCCUGAAUGAUGUAGGCUAUGGGGCCACAUAAGACUUUGUGCAUCCAGGGUUACAUAGCAUGACAACUUUAAACUAAAAAGCUACCAGACUGGGAUUUUAGUGUACUCCAGGAUCUACCAAAUACUACUACGAAGUGUACAGUGCAUAAUAUAGUGUUUAGUGUAUAAUCUAACCUAAGGAUUAAGUGUAGUACAUUGUGCUUUAUAGUGUCACAAGAGUUUAAUAAAGAAUUAUACCUUCAAGAACCAUCCUUUGCCAUUGAAAUAACCACACUACACAUCAUGCAAUAUACUUGCAUGUCACACAGGUAAGGUCUCUAACUUUUUCUUAGUUUAAGGCAUAUUUCCAAGUGUCGUUCCGGCUUACGACGAUUUUCGGCUUACGACGCGCCUCAAGAACGGAACCCCCGUCGUAACCCGGGGA